UCUUCCGUAGUAUAGUGGUCAGUAUGUGAGCUUGUCAUGUCCAUCUUUCAAGGUGCUGACUUUCGCUCGAGACCCGGGUUCAAUUCCCGGCGGGAGAG